UACGGUGGGUGCAAGCGUUAUCCGGAUUCACUGGGUUUAAAGGGUGCGUAGGAGGGCAGGUAAGUCCGUGGUGAAAUCUCUGAGCUUAACUCGGAAACUGCCAUGGAUACUAUCCGUCUUGAAUGCGGUGGAGGUGAGCGGAAUAUGUCAUGUAGCGGUGAAAUGCUUAGAUAUGACAUAGAACACCGAUUGCGAAGGCAGCUCGCUACACCUGCAUUGACUCUGAGGCACGAAAGCGUGGGGAUCAAACAGG
rnacentral:rRNA from 1 species